AGGUCCAGCCUGCCCAGUGACUAUAUGUUCAACGGCCGCGGUAUUCUGACCGUGCAAAGGUAGCGUAAUCACUUGUCUUUUAAAUAAAGACUGGUAUGAAUGGCACCACGAAGGUUCAACUGUCUCCUGUAUCCAAUCCAUUAAACUGACCUCCCCGUGCAGAGGCGGGGAUAUAAUCAUAAGACGAGAAGACCCUAUGGAGCUUAAAACUAAGGGCAACUGCCAAACUAUUCUACCCGUAAGGAUAAAUUAUUAAACAAGCAGAAAUUGACCUAAAGUUUUCGGUUGGGGCGACCAUGGAGAAUAAAAAAUCCUCCUUGAAGAAUAGGGCUUACAACCCUUAACCAAGAACCACUAUUCUAAGUAACAAAAUUUAUGACUGCAAUUGAUCCAGUCCUACUGAUCAACGAACCAAGUUACCCUAGGGAUAACAGCGCAAUCCAUUUCAAAAGUUCUUAUCGACAAAUGGGUUUACGACCUCGAUGUUGGAUCAGGGCAUCCCAGUGGUGCAGCCGCUACUAAAGGUUCGUUUGUUCAACGAUUAAAGCCCU
rnacentral:rRNA from 1 species